rnacentral:rRNA from 1 species
CAUGUCUUUUUGUAUUAUUAAUAUAAAGUCUAACCUGCCCAAUGAUAGUUAUUAAAUGGCCGCAGUAUUUUGACUGUGCAAAGGUAGCAUAAUCAUUAGUUUUUUAAUUGAAAGCUGGAAUGAAAGGUUGAAUGAGAAAAUGACUGUCUUUGUUGUAUUUAAUUAAAAUUUUAUUUUUAAGUUAAAAAGCUUAAAUUUUAUUUAAAGACGAGAAGACCCUUUAGAGUUUUAUAAUAAUUUAUUUUUUAAUUUUUUAGAAUUAAUAUUAUUAUAUAGUAAUUAUUAUUUUAUUGGGGUGAUUGAAAAAUUUAAUAAACUUUUUUUUUAUUAUUACAUUUAUAUAUGAUUAUUUGAUCCAUUUAUUAUGAUUAUAAGAUUAAAUUACCUAAGGGAUAACAGCGUUAUUUUUUUUGAGAGUUCAAAUCGAAAAAAAAGAUUGCGACCUCGAUGUUGGAUUAAAAUUAAAUUAUGGUGUAGAGGCUAUAACUUAA